rnacentral:tRNA from 1 species
GGCCUCAUAGCUCAACUGGUCGAGCACUGUACCGGGAUUGCAGAGGUCAGGGUUCGAAUUCCUGUCUAGGCCU